ACGCACGCUGGCGGCGUGCCUAAUACAUGCCAGUUGAGCGCUGAAGGUUGGUACUUGUACCAACUGGAUGAGCAGCGAACGGGUGAGUAACGCGUGGGGAAUCUGCCUUUGAGCGGGGGACAACAUUUGGAAACGAAUGCUAAUACCGCAUAAAAACUUUAAACACAAGUUUUAAGUUUGAAAGAUGCAAUUGCAUCACUCAAAGAUGAUCCCGCGUUGUAUUAGCUAGUUGGUGAGGUAAAGGCUCACCAAGGCGAUGAUACAUAGCCGACCUGAGAGGGUGAUCGGCCACAUUGGGACUGAGACACGGCCCAAACUCCUACGGGAGGCAGCAGUAGGGAAUCUUCGGCAAUGGACGAAAGUCUGACCGAGCAACGCCGCGUGAGUGAAGAAGGGUUUCGGAUCGUAAAACUCUGUUGGUAGAGAAGAACGUUGGUGAGAGUGGAAAGCUCAUCAAGUGACGGUAACUACCCAGAAAGGGACGGCUAACUACGUG
rnacentral:rRNA from 1 species